GACGGAGGAUGCAAGUGUUAUCCGGAAUCACUGGGCGUAAAGCGUCUGUAGGUGGUUCGAAAAGUCCACUGUUAAAAAUUGAGGCUUAACUUCAAAGAUGCCGUGGAAACUUUCAAACUAGAGUAUGGUAGGGUAGAGGGAAUUUCCAGUGGAGCGGUGAAAUGCGUAGAUAUUGGAAAAGACCACCGAUGGCGAAGGCACUCUACUGGGGCCAUUUUACUGACACUGAGAGACGAAAAGCUAGGGGAGCAAAAUGGGG
rnacentral:rRNA from 1 species